CCAUUCAAAUGAUUAUAAAAAUAUAAGUUUUGCCAUAAAAUUUUGAUAUAAUUUCCCCUUAGAUAGGGUUCAUUUUAUAAUUGAGUGAGAAUGAAUGAAGCAAUUCAAAUCUAAAUUUUAUAUAAAGGAUGCAGCUGGCUGCCUCACAAGUCGCAUGGUUCAGUUUGUGCUAGUUUGAAAGGAAGAGCUUGAAUCUGAAAGCAGAAUGGGAAGAAGAAAAUUUUGGACGCGGGAAUGGACCGGACCAGAUUCUCAUGGUUUGUUGACUCUGGAGCAACAAAUCACAUUACAUCCAACCUCAACAAUCUUUCCCUUCAUGCUUCCUAUAAUGGUGGAGACAAAGUGGCCAUAGGAAAUGGUAAUACUCUAAUGGACAAGGAUUCCAGGCAUGCACUACUUCGGGGACACCUUAAAGAUGGGCUAUAUUGAUUGCUUCCAGCAUUUGGUCAUGCUGCGUAUAGCACUCCAGCCCACUCCAACAAGUCUUUGCUGUCUAGUAAUACUGUUUUUCCUUUGAAUAAAUGUAAUAGACAAAGCUCAUUCAAUCAUGAAUUGUCUCACGGUGCAAAUGUAGCCCAAUGUAAUAAUGUUUGUCAAUAAUGGCAUGCCAAAUUAGGGCAUCCAUCUUCUAGUGUAUUGAGAUCAGUAUUGAAUAAAAUUCAUAUUCCU